rnacentral:lncRNA from 1 species
GGUAAGCCUAAUUUUCAAAAUAGACAGUGUUUUAGUUGGAUACUAAUCCACUUAUAUUCACGUAUAUAUACACACAUACAUAUGCAGGAUUCUAUGCAGUGUGGAUCUAUAGACAAGAAUCCCAUAUGGAAGGCUUAGUACCUUGUAAGAGUUCUGACAGGAAGAGAGACAGACAGCCAAUUUCUGUUCCAUUUGUUUGGGAAGAGAAACCUGGAACACCCAAGAAAGACUGGAAACCAACUGCUCGUCCGAUUAAGCCGGCUGCGCUGCCAGUCAAGCUUGUUGCAUCUGUUCCUUUUGGAUGGGAAGAGAAGCCCGGAAAACCACUUCCAUGUUUCUCACAGUCGCUACCAGAAUCAGAACCAGCACCGCCACAGACAAUGAGCAUCGACUUCUCAUCACCUCCGAGUUACUCGGAUAGUCAGGAUGAAGAUUGGUGUGGCAGCGAGGGAGACGUUGAAGAUAACAGAGAAGGUGAUCAAAUGCUGGAUUCAGAGAUAGAUACGUGCAGUUUCAUAACAGGAGAUUCCUUCAGCUCCGCUCCGUCUCUCCUCGCCAAUGGCCUGAUAUCAAGCGCAGCGCUUUCGGGUGCAGUUCCUGAGCAGGAAACUUCAUUUACACAGACAACAAUCAACGGUGGGCAAAUCCAAACUCCCUGUUCACCAGAAACAGACACUAGUACAAGCAGCUAUGCAACAGGAACCACAAGCCUGGGUGGGGCUUCUUUCUUGGAGUGGCUCUUUCCUCUACUAGCACCUCGAACGAGUUUAGUUGACAACGUUGGCUGCUCAGAGAAGGUCACCUCUCACACAGCAGAUGUACAAAAUACAGAUUUGCUACGUGAAAGCAACGGCAGUCUUGUAAGAAGACCACUGCUGACACUUGGAGAGAUGAUAAUGAUGAGCCGAAGAAUGAGUUAUAGAAGGAAAGCAAAUAAAAUCCAUAAACAGCCAUCUAUGGUAACUAUAUUCUUCCCUGAUUUUCGCUAAUGAUUGAAUCAGCAGUUCAAUUUUGAAAGACAGCUUUUCAUUGGUGCAACUUACAUUCGACAGGAACUUGUGAAAGGGAACGCCUUGGGUUGCUGCAUCUUUGGACCUGGCAACGGCAUCAGUAGAUUACAUUGGAAGUGGAAGAGGCAGCUGCAACUAAAACUGAUGUAGAAAAGUUGGCACUCUGGCUUAUUGUUCCAUGCAAUUAAUUGGAGUCAAACUCCAGUUCAUUCCAUUCUGAAAUUAGAGCAUGUUAAAUUAUUACGAGUUUCUGCAUGUAACGAAAAGAUUUAAAUUACUUCAAUAAUAUCAGGAUUGUGACUCCAACUAAAACAAUGAUGAUGCCACCUUAAAUCCUCAAAACACAUUGUCAUCACAAUUAAGCGAUGGUAUAUAGCCGGGCCAUUUAGCUCCAAUGAUUCAAGACCCAGAACGUUUUUUAUGCAGAACUUUUAAAAGUUUCAACAACUUUACGGAUUCGAUAAGUUUCAACAACUUUACGGAUUCGAUAUUAACUACGCAAAUCUUGUGCUUUUGUGAUUAUUAUUUUCAUGCUGUCAGAUAAUACUUUUCUUUUAUUUACUAAUCAGGUAGUACCGCUUCAGUCCGUAAUUUUCAACAUCUAUAUAAAUUAAGUUUGAUUUCAAUUGUUAUAUUUAGUAACUCAGAUGAAUGUAUAUUUAUGAAAAAUGUUGUAUCUACAGUGAAAUGAACAAUUGAGUUACGUUAGAAAUUUAUAGACAAACGCACUUGCUGUAAAUUUACAGAAAGAUGCGUUGUAAGAGGAAACAAUCAACCAUGCCAUAAAUCUACAAAAUUUCAAAAUUAAUCCAAAUCUUUAAGCCCAAAAUAUUUUUAAUUUCUUUAACUUCUUCAAGUCAAAAAGAAAAGAAGUCAAAAUGAACUACAGCCCUUUCCCAGUAAAGGAAAAGCACGAUUUGGUAACGUAUUUUUUUCAUUCCAAAUUUACAUCUGAGAGAGAUGAUACAUGCCAAUAGAAAGAAAUCAAUCCCAUUAUUAACUAAACAAAGAACGAUGUUCCCACUUCCUAGGAUGAACAAAUUUAACAAGAAUGUCUGCAAGGAAUCUUUUCGAAAUCAAUUAAUCAAGCCCUAUCUAUGAGUCUAUCUCCUUUACAGACUGGAUUUUCCUUCAUCAGAAUAGCCCUAGCUGGAGUCUUGUAAUCAAACUUGCAUGCAUGUGCCUCUGGAUAUCUAUGCAUCCCACAAAAACUUCCGCCACAUUUACAACCAAAACCCGUUAAUCCAACCUUCUUGUUACGAGAUUUACAUCUGUUGUUUACAAUUGGAAGAGGAUUAGCGUCGUUGUUAAGUGUAAGAGAAUUCGUCGCAUCGACCAAUGGAUCGAUUAAAGAAUUCGUUGAAACUGAAGGGCUGAAGGAGGAGGAAGCAGACGUUUCCUUGAAGCAUAUUGUUUCUGCAGAUUUAGCUAUCCUUUCUUUGAGAAAAUCUUGAUAGCACUUUGAACACAGACCAUGAUUUUGUGGGCUUCCAUAAAAUUUCUGGCAUCUGCUACAGAGUUGCAGAGUUUCUUGUUGGCAGCUUUGCGUUUGAUCCAUUAUCGGCUACGAUCUCUGCCUCACCAGAUGACUCGUCUGUAACGUACGGACUAACAGCUGAACAGUUCCGAUCUUCUUCUAUUUUGAAUGAUAGAAUUUGGGAGUUUUCGAAUGGAAGGGCUGAAGAUUGUGCAUGUAUAUAUAUAGAGGGCUUUGGGUGGUUAGUAGGCUCGGAAUAGGAAAUAUAUGUAUACAUGUUGGAUAUUGGUUAAAUAAAUCGAUAAUUGAAAAUCGAUUAAAGUGACUUCGUAUCGACUUCGGCCAAAUACUCAAAAGCUCGACUCAAUCCGUUUAGGUAAAAUUGUUUGCCACUUCGCCGCUUCGGGCGCACAAUAGUCGAAUUGAUAAAUGUUUUACAUUCUCUCGAAACUCAUUUUGAGAACUAUAUUGUAAAGACAUCGAAUGAUUUAAAUAACCCCCGAAAGAGAAAUUUGAUUUCUCUGCAUGUAUUGAAGGGUAUAUUUGACAUUUCGAAAACCAAUAUCGGAUGAAUGAGAAAUUACGAAAAAGGACGAAAAUCAGGUCAAAAUAUUUGACCGUGCGACCGCAUGGUUGGUAAACCGCGCGAUCACACGUCAAAAUUCAAUUCCGAUUUUUUGAGUAAAUAGACACCUUUUCACAAAAGUGCAUUGUUUGGAAAGGGUGCAUGGUUUGGCCUCAAGCAUUUCGUCCACACCCUUUCAUGGUCUAUAAAUAGGACCCUUUGGGUGUCCUAUUCCUCACAAUUUGAUAUGCAAAAACAUCUCUCAUCCUCUCUUCUAUCCAAAAUCAAAAUCAUUUCAUUUAUUUUGAUUUUCCUUAAUUUCAUCCUUGGAGUACAUAAGCCUAAAUUUGGUUCGUUGUACUUGUGUUUUGGAGUGCUACAAACAAAAGUAUAGCCGUUGUAUCUUGGGAGUCGAUUGCCGAAAUCCGUAAGCACCGUUGCGGGGCAAAUUCGACUUAAGGACAAAGAGUCCAACUCUUGCCUCGGCUUUGUCCUUACUUUCUUCUUCUUCUUGUUUGUGUUUUCUUUGCCGUUACUCUGUCCAAUUUUCGGCACGGAUUUACAAACCAUCAUUAUACUUAUUUUGGCGUCACUAUUCACAAAAUUCCUCCAACAAUACAUAUGGUAAUAUGAAUCAAGAACGUUGAAGGGACGAAUUUUGAUUGGUUUGGAUUGGUCAGAGACUUUGUUCAAAUUUAUAUUUGGCAAGGACUAAAAUUUUCAUCGUAUGGAAAUCUUUCCUUUUUUGAUCAUUGUACUUUAUUUUGUAUUGAAUCAUUCUGGUAGUCUGACUUGAAUGUUGAUAAGGCAUUUGAUAUUAGAGGACUUGGGGGAAAAAAUUUUACUUGUUUAAAAAUUGUUUAUAAACCAUUUAAAUUAUAAAUGAAUAAAAAUAAGUAAUAAAUACAUGGAUAAUAUUUGUGGGUUGAAUUGACGAAUUAUAAAUAUCUAUAAACAUUAACCAAACAUGAGCUAAAAUUGUUCAAUAUAUUUAGCCUCUAUUUGGGCUCCAUUUUAGGGAAAAAAAUGGUAUUUUUUUUUAUUUUUUUUAACCACACAUUCUCGAAUAAAAAGAUAUUAUACAUAAAUUCAAAAUUUUCCUUAUUUGUUAACUCUACAUUUAAAAAAAAAAAUCACUAUUUUAAAAUAAAUUUUCCCAAAAAUUUAUUUUUAGUAGAGCCCAAACAAAGGCUAAAUUAUUAAUGUUAGAGAGACAAAAAGAAGAGAUUUUAGCGAUGUCAAUAGAGAAGUGUGUAUUAUUGAAAAUUGAAGGUUAAUCGCAUAUGCACGCUUAGGUACCAAAAUGCGCACGCAUUGACGUUUAGAAAAAUUAAAAAUCAAAAUUUUUUUUGGACCAGUUACAAAUUUUUACGUCGGUGUUUAUGUCAAUCUAAUUGUAGGAAUUAAUUGCGAAUUAAUUGUAAUAUUCAUGAUUUUAAGCAAUAUACUAUUUUUUUUUCUUUUGAAAAUUUGAAGAAUAUGUAUAAAGUUUAAGUAAUAUAUAUAUAGUUCAAAAAACGCAUUAUUUUAUUUAUUUAUUAGUCAAAUAUCUAAAAUAGUAUUAAAAAUUGAAAAAACACAUACUCGAUCAAAACGCAUUGCUACACAUUACAUAUUUUAGAACUUUGGCUACAGUGAUAGAAUUGCCACUCACUACUUAAAACCCUGUUUGAGCCGCAUUAUUUGAAAAAAAAUACAUUUUUAAACAAUAAUUUGACAUCAUUUCAACCACACAUUUUUCAAUAAAAUAAUAUUAUACAAAAAAUUUUCUUAUAUUUUAACCACGUAUUCUCUAUUAAUCUAUUAUUUCAAAAUACAUUUUUUAAAAAUAAUGUGGCUCAAACACACACCAAUUGUAAUUUACAAUACCCCCUCGAAUGAUACAUUAAAUAAUGUGUCUUGUUAUAACCUUAUUUGAUAAAAAUUUAGUGGGUCAAAAAUAUAUAUAAAAAAAAAAAAAAGGAAGAGAGAGAAAAAAAUAUUACAACUAUAUUUUAGAGUAAUAAAAAUAAUUGCAAUCUCGUUAAAACUUUGCCAAGAGAAUCUAAGGUGAUAAAACCUUAGCAAAGAAAAAAGAGUAUAAUUACUCUACUUGAUGUUGACAACCAAAGAUCUUUGAGUCGAUGCAUCCGUAUCUCGUGUACCAAUUUUUCGAAUGUAGACAUUAAAGAUGCUUUUGUAAAUAAGUCAUUCACAUUAUUACUUGAGCGAAGUUUUUAAACAUCAACAUUAUCAAUCUUUUAAAACUCGUGUAUAGUGGAAUUUUGGAGAAUGUAUUUUCUCGUGUCUCAUUUGAUAUAACAUUCUUUGAGGUGUACGGUACAAGCUACAUUAUCUUCAUCAUAAUCAAUUUGAGGUCUUUAUAAGAGAUCUUGAACUACAAUUGUUAUUUUUAAUAUUUUUACAAAACUGUGGUACAAAACUAGUGACACACCCCAUGAUUUUUCAUUAACAAUUUAUUUCUAUGUUCAACUACAAAUAUCCAAAAUAUGAAUUUUGAGAAUUUUUUUGAAAUUAUGCUCACGAAAUUACUAUCGUAGGAACAUAUUCAAUGUAUGACAAAUUAUAUAUUAAAUGAGUUUCACUGUGUUUUUAAUUCUAAUAUUCGUGUGUGUACACGUACAUAUCAUCCUUGAAAAAUUAACUUCCAUUUUUAUUAUUAUUCCUAAUUAUUAAUAUUUCAUAUAACUUAUAGAAAGUGUUUGGUAGGGAUUAAAAUUAAAUUUUUAGUAGAUUUGAAAUGUGUAGUUGAAAAAUUGUGAAACUUAUGAAAAAUGUGAUUUAUAUUAAUUGUUUGACUUUGAUUCAAAUUAAAAUCUGAACCAAACAGGAGCAUAAACUUCAAAUUUGUGAGUCAAAAAUCAAAUUUCUUAAAAUUUAAUUUAUGAAAAUCGGAAAUUCAGGGGUUACAAUUUGUAAAUAGCCUUUUUUCUUCUUCUUUUUUAUUUUUAUUUUUAACCUAGAAAGUAAGGUUAGCCAGCCAAAAAUAAAAAAUAAAAAAAUAAAACUAACAUUAAAUAAAAUGGGCAAAUUGUUGUAGAAUAAUUUACAUAUAUAUUGUGUCCAUCAUUCACACUGAACAAGGCUCUGUCUCAACACCAAAAAUAGAUCAGAACCCCUGUUUCCAUAUUGCAUGAUAACAUUUGUGAAAUCCCAUCUGAACGAAUUUUUCCAUAUUGAAAAUCUCGAAAUUAAUCUCAAAUACGGUUCAAAUUCCAUUGAUUGUACCAUAAGGGUUGUUGAAUAAAGCAAAAAUAUUCCUACAAUUUUUCUUCCACUGAGCAAGCUUUAUGGUAAAAAUUUCUUAAUUCAAAGUGUAAUUUUGACGCAGUUGGUAAAGGGCCAUUAAACCAAGUCCGCCUUAUUAUUCAAAUGAGAAAUUAGGUAAGCCUCAUUUUCAAAAUAGACUGUUUUAGUUGGAUGCUAAUCCACUUAUAUUCACGUAUAUAUACACACAUACAUAUGCAGGAUUCUAUGCAGUGUGGAUCUAUAGACAAGAAUCCCAUAUGGAAGGCAUAGUACCUUGUAAGAGUUCUGACAGGACGAGAGACAGACAGCCAAUUUCUGUUCCAUUUGUUUGGGAAGAGAAACCUGGAACACCCAAGAAAGACUGGAAACCAACUGCUCGUCCGAUUAAGCCGGCUGCGCUGCCAGUCAAGCUUGUUGCAUCUGUUCCUUUUGGAUGGGAAGAGAAGCCCGGAAAACCACUUCCAUGUUUCUCACAGUCACUACCAGAA